rnacentral:rRNA from 1 species
GACGAACGCUGGCGGCGUGCUUAACACAUGCAAGUCGAACGGAAAGGCCCUGCUUUUGUGGGGUGCUCGAGUGGCGAACGGGUGAGUAACACGUGAGUAACCUGCCCUUGACUUUGGGAUAACUUCAGGAAACUGGGGCUAAUACCGGAUAGGAGCUCCUGCUGCAUGGUGGGGGUUGGAAAGUUUCGGCGGUUGGGGAUGGACUCGCGGCUUAUCAGCUUGUUGGUGGGGUAGUGGCUUACCAAGGCUUUGACGGGUAGCCGGCCUGAGAGGGUGACCGGCCACGGGCGGGCGGGCGGACGCGCCAGAGUGCUGCGGGGGGGAGAAGGGGGGAAGACUGCACGCGGGGCGGGUGCGUGAUGCGUCGGGGGGGCGGGAGGGAGGCCGGCCGCAGGGUGCAAGCCCGUUUCCGCGGUGCGGGAGGGGGGGGGGGUGGUAGGGGGAAAAGAACCACCUGCUAACUCGGGGCCACGACCGGGGGUAUACGCGGAAGACCCCCGGUCCGACC